ACAUUUCCUAUUCUUGUAGGAAUAUAAGAAUUCCUUUUCUUAUAGGAAACACUACAUUAGACAAAAUGGCAUUUAGCUCUUUUAAGAAUAAGAACUGAACCCUAUUCACUGAUGUUAUCAUGACUUACAUUUUGCAUAUAAACUGAAAUCAGAGUACCAAAUUUAAAAUCAACUUCUUGAUUCUGGGCACUGCUAGCCCAAUUCCAUAUACAUCCAGUAGAGGGCAGUGUUUCACACCCACUUAACUCUACUAGCUCAUGUCAAGUGAGAUACAGUAUUCAAAUCUUAGAACUGAAGUGUAGGGAUCAAAUCUUCAUUUUCCAAAUAUUAUAGCAUAAAAGUUAUUGUUGUUGUGCUAUAAGAAGUUAUGGCUGUAAUAAAAUACAAAGAAGCAUGAAAAGACUUACAUGAACUGAUGCAAAGUAUAGUAAGGAGAGCCAAGAAAACAAAACCAUACAAUGAUUACAGCAAUGAAAAUAUGAUAAUGACCGCAAGACAGUGAAAAAUGAGUGUGCCAAAAUGACAACAAGGUUGGCUUCAAAAAAGAGAUAUAAGAAAUCUCCAUUUGUUUUAAGGGGGAGGACAGUUCCAGGUAUGGAAUAUUAUACAUAAUGCAAUAGUUUUUCAAUGUAUUGAUUAGUUUUGUAGAAUUUUUCUCUUCCUAUUUUUUUUUAAUAAGUUAUUAUAAAGGAUCUCUGGGAGCAGGAAGCAGGAGGGACAUAAGGGGAAAUUUAAGUAAUAUGAAAACUUUUAAAAGAGAAUAAAAAUCUUUUAAAAAGAAAAUGUAUAGGCUCUUUCCAAAACUAGAUUGGAAAAAUGUACCAUUCAUCAAAAAUGUACCAUCCAAUCAAAAUUAAUAUCUAAGCAACAAAAGUAUGGUUUCAUGGGGAAACUGUAAACAUUGUUUCAACAUCUUAUUUACUCGAUGUCAAAUUUUAUAAAAUAAUUGGCUACAAAAAGUUUUUUAAAGGUGUUAAAAUGUUAUUGGGAACAUUCAACUUUAUGAAUCUACAGAACUCUGGUUCUUUUCAUCCAUGGGGGAAAUUGUUUUAAAAAUAAUUUUGUUUUUGAUAAUUGGACUGCGAAGUGCAAUUAUAUAAUUUAGUAAACAGAGAAUAAAACAUCUGGAAUGUA
rnacentral:lncRNA from 1 species